GGGGAUGUAGCUUAACAGUGCAGCACUUUCCUGGUAAACAUGAGGCCCUGAGUUCGAUUCCCGGCAUCCUUC
rnacentral:tRNA from 1 species